UCCCGCGCGCCUCUCCCGAACCUCGCCUCCCGCGGACAGCGCCCUGCGCCGGCCGCCGCGACCCCCACCGAACCCCCCCUUGCGCCGGCCGCCGCGACCAGCACCCAACCCUCCCCUGCGCCGGCCCCCUCGCCCCCCAACGAAUCCGCCCUGCAACGGAGCAGGGCCCUCCCGCCGAAACCCCCCUGCGCCUCUGAAGAACAACCCUUCUAGGGUUUGGGGAAAUUUCCUGCAGCGGAGGCGGUCGGCGAUGAGGUCACACCAGGGCUUGGAGUCGCACUUGAAUCGGAAGCGGGACUUGGCGGGGACGCGCGAGAGGAUCUCCACGAGGGCAUCGUCGGAGGGGCACGCCACCAGAGCCCGCCGCACCAUCCGCGCGAGGCGCACGACAGCGAGGCGCGCCACCUCCCGGCUAGCGGUCGGCUCCCGGCGUCCACGCGGUGCCUGCUCCUGGCCGGCGGCUUGCGCUCGGGCUCUCGGCUCCCGUCCUCCCGCUAGGCGCUCGGGUCCUCUCAGCUGCGGGUCCUCCUGCUCGCGACGGUGCUCAAAUCGGCUGCCACCAAGAUGGCGGGGACGGCGGCGGCGGGAUGGUCGAUGGUGCACGGUGGACACGGUCUUCAACGGCAGCACGCUGGGGAUCAAGCCGCACACCAUCGAGGUCACCCCUACCGCCGGCCUGGUUGUGCUCGACUCCAUCAAUAGCACAAUCUACAGGUCCUGCUGCCACUGUCACCAUGUGAGCAGUUGUGAUGGCGUGAAGGGAAAUGGUGCAGCUACUGGGCAAAGAUGGGGAAUCUGAUCCAGAAAGAGCCUAUAGUUCAUUUUUGAAGAUGGAGUUCUCGUUUGAGAUGAAGAGAUGGAUGCAGAGGGAGUGGAAGGAGGAGGAGGUGGUCAAGGAGGAAGUAAACGAGCCUGACGAGAUAUUCCCAUAGCAUUUGAUUAACUCCUGAUCAGUUUAUUUUUUUUUUAGGCUAUGAACAAUCGCUAUCUGAUGUGCUGCUGAAAUGAGGGUAUAGAGCUUUGAGUGGAUCAGGUUUUGUAGAAGAAAAAAACUUUAGGUAAAGUUUUUUCUUGGUUUCUGCUUGAUCGAGAUAGAAGAUGGUAGCAGUAAGCAGUGUGCUACUGGAUAAGAACAGAGCCAAGCAAAAAGCCAGGUUGCUUCUUGCUAUGUGCUACAUGGGUCUCUUAGAAAAUAUCAUAAUAAUGCUUUGGCAGAGCAGGGCAGGUGCAUUCUCUUAUGUGAGUGACCAUCUGUGAGCUAGAUAUUAGUUGUAUCUCUACUUGUGAUUGCAUAAUGACCUGCAGUCGAUUUUGAAUAUAUUAAUAGUUGCAUAG